UGCAGUCGAGCGAACAGAUAAGGAGCUUGCUCCUUUGACGUUAGCGGCGGACGGGUGAGUAACACGUGGGUAACCUACCUAUAAGACUGGGAUAACUUCGGGAAACCGGAGCUAAUACCGGAUAAUAUUUCGAACCGCAUGGUUCGAUAGUGAAAGAUGGUUUUGCUAUCACUUAUAGAUGGACCCGCGCCGUAUUAGCUAGUUGGUAAGGUAACGGCUUACCAAGGCGACGAUACGUAGCCGACCUGAGAGGGUGAUCGGCCACACUGGAACUGAGACACGGUCCAGACUCCUACGGGAGGCAGCAGUAGGGAAUCUUCCGCAAUGGGCGAAAGCCUGACGGAGCAACGCCGCGUGAGUGAUGAAGGUCUUCGGAUCGUAAAACUCUGUUAUUAGGGAAGAACAUACGUGUAAGUAACUGUGCACGUCUUGACGGUACCUAAUCAGAAAGCCACGGCUAACUACGUGCCAGCAGCCGCGGUAAUACGUAGGUGGCAAGCGUUAUCCGGAAUUAUUGGGCGUAAAGCGCGCGUAGGCGGUUUUUUAAGUCUGAUGUGAAAGCCCACGGCUCAACCGUGGAGGGUCAUUGGAAACUGGAAAACUUGAGUGCAGAAGAGGAAAGUGGAAUUCCAUGUGUAGCGGUGAAAUGCGCAGAGAUAUGGAGGAACACCAGUGGCGAAGGCGACUUUCUGGUCUGUAACUGACGCUGAUGUGCGAAAGCGUGGGGAUCAAACAGGAUUAGAUACCCUGGUAGUCCACGCCGUAAACGAUGAGUGCUAAGUGUUAGGGGUUUCCGCCCCUUAGUGCUGCAGCUAACGCAUUAAGCACUCCGCCUGGGGAGUAC
rnacentral:rRNA from 1 species